UACGUAGGUGACAAGCGUUGUCCGGAUUUACUGGGCGUAAAGAGCGCGCAGGCGGUCGUUCAAGUCGGGUGUGAAAGCCCCCGGCUCAACUGGGGAGGGUCACUCGAUACUGAUCGACUCGAAGGCAGGAGAGGGUAGUGGAAUUCCCGGUGUAGUGGUGAAAUGCGUAGAUAUCGGGAGGAACACCAGUGGCGAAGGCGACUACCUGGCCUGUUCUUGACGCUGAGGCGCGAAAGCUAGGGGAGCAAACGGG
rnacentral:rRNA from 1 species